rnacentral:rRNA from 1 species
UACGUAGGGUGCAAGCGUUUGUCCGGAAUUAUUGGGCGUAAAGAGCGUGUAGGCGGCCCGAUUAGUCCGCUGUGAAAGUCCAGGGCUCAACCCUGGAAUGCCGGUGGAUACUGUCGGGCUAGAGUCCGGAAGGGGCGAGUAGAAUUCCUGGUGUAGCGGUGAAAUGCGCAGAUAUCAGGAGGAACACCAAUGGCGAAGGCAGCUCGCUGGGACGUGACUGACGCUGAGACGCGAAAGCGUGGGGAGCAAACAGG